UUUAUAUGAAUGAGAUAUAGGUGCUUAAAGUUAAGGUGUUGAUUUAGGAGCUAUUGUCACUCUUUUUGACAUAAUGCAUGCAUACGGAAGACAAUUGAGGAUCAGCAACUGCAAUUGAAGAGAGCACUUUUGCGGCUACACUUUUUGCAUACUACUUGCUGGAUUCUAAGUUGGAAUAAAGGAGAUAUUGGAUUUUGAAGUCAGCACAUGCAAUCUAAGAGUAGUAAGUGACCUGAUUUACAAGUGGUUGUAUCUUGAGCUAUAUCUUAAGCAAUUUAACAAGGUUUUGGCUCAAAAUUUCAAGAAAUGUGUAUAUUCAUGUUAAUAAACUUGAUACAUAAGUUUGAUGG
rnacentral:lncRNA from 1 species